rnacentral:rRNA from 1 species
CAGCAGCCGCGGUAAUACGUAGGGUGCAAGCGUUAUCCGGAAUUAUUGGGCGUAAAGAGCUCGUAGGCGGUUUGUCGCGUCUGUCGUGAAAGUCCGGGGCUCAACUCCGGAUCUGCGGUGGGUACGGGCAGACUAGAGUGAUGUAGGGGAGACUGGAAUUCCUGGUGUAGCGGUGGAAUGCGCAGAUAUCAGGAGGAACACCGAUGGCGAAGGCAGGUCUCUGGGCAUUAACUGACGCUGAGGAGCGAAAGCAUGGGGAGCGAACAGGAUUAGAUACCCGUGUAGUCCCUGUCUCUUAUAC